AUGAACGCUGGCGGCGUGCUUAACACAUGCAAGUCGAACGAAGCACUUUAUUUGAUUUCCUUCGGGACUGAUUAUUUUGUGACUGAGUGGCGGACGGGUGAGUAACGCGUGGGUAACCUGCCUUGUACAGGGGGAUAACAGUUGGAAACGGCUGCUAAUACCGCAUAAGCGCACAGCAUCGCAUGAUGCAGUGUGAAAAACUCCGGUGGUAUAAGAUGGACCCGCGUUGGAUUAGCUAGUUGGUGAGGUAACGGCCCACCAAGGCGACGAUCCAUAGCCGACCUGAGAGGGUGACCGGCCACAUUGGGACUGAGACACGGCCCAAACUCCUACGGGAGGCAGCAGUGGGGAAUAUUGCACAAUGGGCGAAAGGCUGAUGCAGCGACGCCGCGUGAGCGAAGAAGUAUUUCGGUAUGUAAAGCUCUAUCAGCAGGGAAGAUAAUGACGGUACCUGACGAAGAAGCACCGGCUAAAUACGUG
rnacentral:rRNA from 1 species